rnacentral:tRNA from 1 species
GGAAGCGAAUGUGACCCUGGUGGGCACCACAGCCUUCAAAGCUGAUGUCUCGGGUUAAACCGAGAGGUGGGUUCGAUUCCCACGCGUUUCCGCCA